rnacentral:rRNA from 1 species
AACGAACGCUGGCGGCAUGCCUAACACAUGCAAGUCGAACGAUCCCUUCGGGGAUAGUGGCGCACGGGUGCGUAACGCGUGGGAAUCUGCCCUUGGGUUCGGAAUAACAGUUAGAAAUGACUGCUAAUACCGGAUGAUGUCUUCGGACCAAAGAUUUAUCGCCCAGGGAUGAGCCCGCGUAGGAUUAGGUAGUUGGUGGGGUAAUGGCCUACCAAGCCGACGAUCCUUAGCUGGUCUGAGAGGAUGAUCAGCCACACUGGGACUGAGACACGGCCCAGACUCCUACGGGAGGCAGCAGUGGGGAAUAUUGGACAAUGGGCGCAAGCCUGAUCCAGCAAUGCCGCGUGAGUGAUGAAGGCCUUAGGGUUGUAAAGCUCUUUUACCAGGGAUGAUAAUGACAGUACCUGGAGAAUAAGCUCCGGCUAACUCCGUGCCAGCAGCCGCCGUAA